rfam:Gossypium arboreum cultivar AKA8401 contig_2494_7, whole genome shotgun sequence.
AGUUAAAAUAUUUAUCCAUUUUUACUGUUAAAAAUUGGUGUAGUUGACGGAAUAACCAGACAGUUACACAUGGCUUUGCCACAUGUACCUCAUGGCAAUGUACAAAAGACCAGUUUUUAACAGUAGAAAUGAAUGAAUUUUUUAACA